rnacentral:ncRNA from 1 species
GGAUUUGGUGCCGCCCACAAUUGGGGCGGUGAAAAGGGAACGGGGUGAAAUCCCCCGACAGUGUCCGCUGCUGUGAAUCCCGGCGGCGCAUAUUGCGGCCUCAACUGCCGCGCGCGUCAGCACUUCUUACACCAUUAGCCACUGCCGUGAGGCCUCAGGAGAGUUGCCUCGGUUAUCGGCGGGAAGGAGGUGAGGUGGGUGAGGGAUGAGUCAGAAGACCUGCCAAGUCACG